rnacentral:lncRNA from 1 species
UCUUAUUGAUCAUGAGCUGUGAGCUGAUUUGUUUGAGACCUUGAAAUGUAGUUGGUAACUUCGAUAGGCUGCUGCAUGGGAUAAGAGAAUGUUAUGAGCAACAAUGUAUGGUUCAAUGGACGAAUUCCCCUUCUCACACAUAAGAUAGCCCAGAAUGGAACAUCUUCCUGGUGCUUGAAUGACUAAAUCAUAAUCAUGGAUGGCGAAGUUAUGAGGUUCAUUGAAGGUAAUCUGGUGCUUAACUCGGUCGCCAAAAGCUUGGAAGCAGGUAUAAGCAUAAGGCUCAAAAUCUUUUUUGUAUGUAAACAAAAAUGAAUAUGAAGUUCCCACCCUUUGUCUCAAAAGGCCUAUAACGUUGGAAUAGCUUAGGUUAUUUGUGUGCAUAGCCAUCCUUUAUAUAUAUCUUAAAGCAUCUGUGGAAGAUCCCAAUGAUUAGAGAGAAUAACUAAAAUUUUAAUGCUUUUUUUCCUUUUUCGUAUUGAUCAUAAGUUGUGAGCUGAUCUGUUUGAGACCUUGAAAUGUAGUUAGUUGGUAACUUCCAUAGGUUGCAAAAUGGGAUAAGAGAAUGUUAUGAGCAAAAAGGGAGACACUGCAAACUGACAUGUAUGAGACUGUGGAGGUAACUGCAAUUGUAGUAAUGUAAAAUCAGGAUGGUAAAUGCAACAUAGAUGUCUUGUUAUGAUGACUCCUAACUACAAAUGCCAAAUGCAUUGUUAAUUUUUUAUUCAUAAUGUAAAUUCAGAAUGACAUAUUUGAGCUUUUUCACCCAAAAUGCAAUGACAGUUUCUAUAUUCCGGAUCUAGAUUUUGGAUUGCUUAUGUUUGAGCUUUAAUGGUAAUCCUAAUUGUAAUGGCAUUAUGAAUUCUUUAUUUAUAAUGUAAGUUCCGAAUGGUAUGACUUUUGAUGCCUCUAAUUGCAAAAUGGUAAUACAGAUUAAAUUCAUAAUCUAAAUUCUGAAUGGUAUGUAAGCCUUUACCAGGGAGUACCUUUUGGAUAUGUUUCUCCAUAUUAUGUAGUUUUUCAAUGGCAUGCCUUAGCAAACAUGUGGAUAAAUUUGGACCUCUAGUGGUGGUGUUCACUUCAGCAGGAAGGGGGGUAGCCCAACUUUUCUUCCAACAAUGUCAGUUGGAGAAUUGAAAUUGCAGUUUUAUUCAAUUACUUUGUAACUAUAAGUGUCAUGAGCGUAGCUUUGAAGACUGCAUAUUUGUAGGAGAUGGCUUUAAG